GCGGGUACCGUCAAUCCGUCAAGGUUAUUAACCUUAACGCCUUCCUCCCCACUGAAAGUACUUUACAACCCGAAGGCCUUCUUCAUACACGCGGCAUGGCUGCAUCAGGCUUGCGCCCAUUGUGCAAUAUUCCCCACUGCUGCCUCCCGUAGG
rnacentral:rRNA from 1 species